AAGCUACACUCUGUGUCAGUAGUCCAUCAGGACGAUGAUCUGGCUCAAUUUGAGCUUUGCUACAAAGAAGUCCAGUCUCACUUUAUUCAACAGUCUUCCCUCUGUGAUUUCCGUUGAGAUGUGGACUGGCACAUU
ensembl:snoRNA